rnacentral:rRNA from 1 species
CACGUAGGGUGCGAGCGUUGUCCGGAAUUAUUGGGCGUAAAGAGCUCGUAGGCGGUGUGUCGCGUCGGCCGUGAAAACCUGCAGCUUAACUGUGGGCUUGCGGUCGAUACGGGCAUCACUGGAGUUCGGCAGGGGAGACUGGAAUUCCUGGUGUAGCGGUGAAAUGCGCAGAUAUCAGGAGGAACACCGGUGGCGAAGGCGGGUCUCUGGGCCGAUACUGACGCUGAGGAGC